GACGGAGGAUGCAAGCGUUAUCCGGAAUGAUUGGGCGUAAAGCGCGUGUAGGCGGCCGUUUAUGCCGGUUGUGAAAGCCCCGGGCUCAACCUGGGAACCGCGCUUGAGACUGGCACGCUCGAGUUCGGGAGAGGAUGGUGGAAUUCCCAGUGUAGAGGUGAAAUUCGUAGAUAUUGGGAAGAACACCGAUGGCGAAGGCAGCCAUCUGGACCGACACUGACGCUGAGGCGCGAAAGCGUGGGGAGCAAACAGG
rnacentral:rRNA from 1 species